AGCGAACGCUGGCGGCAGGCCUAACACAUGCAAGUCGAACGAACUCUUCGGAGUUAGUGGCGGACGGGUGAGUAACACGUGGGAACGUGCCUUUAGGUUCGGAAUAACUCAGGGAAACUUGUGCUAAUACCGAAUGUGCCCUUCGGGGGAAAGAUUUAUCGUCUUUAGAGCGGCCCGCGUCUGAUUAGCUAGUUGGUGAGGUAAAGGCUCACCAAGGCGACGAUCAGUAGCUGGUCUGAGAGGAUGAUCAGCCACAUUGGGACUGAGACACGGCCCAAACUCCUACGGGAGGCAGCAGUGGGGAAUCUUGCGCAAUGGGCGAAAGCCUGACGCAGCCAUGCCGCGUGAAUGAUGAAGGUCUUAGGAUUGUAAAAUUCUUUCACCGGGGACGAUAAUGACGGUACCCGGAGAAGAAGCCCCGGCUAACUUCGUG
rnacentral:rRNA from 1 species